GUAGGUGGCAAGCGUUGUCCGGAAUUAUUGGGCGUAAAGCGCGCGCAGGCGGUUCUUUAAGUCUGAUGUGAAAGCCCACGGCUCAACCGUGGAGGGUCAUUGGAAACUGGAGAACUUGAGUACAGAAGAGGAAAGCGGAAUUCCACGUGUAGCGGUGAAAUGCGUAGAGAUGUGGAGGAACACCAGUGGCGAAGGCGGCUUUCUGGUCUGUAACUGACGCUGAGGCGCGAAAGCGUGGGGAGCAAACAGGAUUAGAUACCCUGGUAGUCCACGCCGUAAACGAUGAGUGCUAAGUGUUAGGGGGUUUCCGCCCCCCUUAGUGCUGCAGCUAACGCAUUAAGCACUCCCGCCUGGGAGUACGGCCGCAAGGCUG
rnacentral:rRNA from 1 species